rnacentral:lncRNA from 1 species
AAAUAUGUUUGCCUGGGGGAUAUGAACAGAAAAUGACUCCACACUAAAACUGAACCGAAUGGAGCAGUUGGAACCGAGUGACUGUUUUCCUUUCUGUCGUCGGUGAGAGGCAAUGGCAGAAGCAGCUUUGUAUCCUAGGAGAGCAGUCUGCAAACUAAAGUCGCAUUCUUCGUAGUUUUUCUUCCCACCCACCCUUUUCCGGUUUUGCAUUUCCAUGUUUCUGUUAACUUGGUGGGAUUGGACGACAAAAAAGGAGUUCAAAGGCGUUGGCUUGUGUAAUGUAUGAAAUAAAUGGGGACUGAGUGGGAGACCUCCAAGUUCCGAGUCAUGUAAUAACUGACUGGUAUUAGGCUUUGCCGUUGCUAGAGAAGAGGCAUAAUGGUUGAGAGACUUCGUCGAUAAGAUACAUAUAUGAUCCAAACUAUUCACUUAUUUCUACUUUAUCCUUUGUCAUAGCAAUGCAAAGUUCUAGGGAUGCAACUGAAUUCAAAUUAGAUAUUUUCAGGUCAUUAACAUAUAACUCUUAUCAACUGAGAUGAUUAAAAUAACUACUAUUUAUGUAGCACUAAAAAUAAUGAAAUGCAUUGUGAAUAAUUGAAUGUUUUUAAAGUUUAAAAUGUAAAUUUCUCAUUUGUUUGAUAUUCUUUUGAAUUGUUUAUGAUAUUCUUUUGGAAUAGAUUAAUCAAUGACUGAAUGGUGGAUUUGUUUAUUGAUAAAAGAAUCAAUGAUGUUUUGGAUUAAAUAUUGGGUCUACUGUGAGGUUUUUUUGUGUGUGGCAAAACUAAGGCCCAACGGCUUCACUUGGCUGGCCUGGAAAAUAACACAAAUAAAAUGCAGAAAUAGGCAGACACCCGAAUUCAUCGAGUCAUGGAGCUGGAGAAUUAUUUAUUAUAGGCAAAAACGUCCAAUAUGUCACAAACUAUUAUUCAACUCCCAAAAUAUACAUGGACUAUCCGUAAUUGUACACGCGUCUUGAAUUAUUUUUUUCAACAAACUUCGAUGUCACGCCGUCUUCAACUGUUAGUUUUCCGUUUACCAUCCGCUAAAUAGCUCGUGACAUAUCGAGGGUUUUUUCCUAGGUAUAGAAAAAAAAAGUAAGUAAAGAAUAAAUGGUUGGAGUAGACAUGAGAAAAAGAUAAGGCUUCUACGGCCCCCUCCAAUUUCACCCUUCCUUCCUAAGGCCAAAGGAAUAUAUGUUCAUUCUUAGGCGGGCGAAUAUAUUCAUUUCCGGGAAAGGUGCUUGGUAUUCAAGCUAACAUCUAACGUGGCUUCUUUAUUUUUUGUUUUUAUUUCUUUAUGACAAAAGAAUUACAGGGAAAGAAAGAAAGAACCUAGCUAAGGGGCGCAUUGCCCCGCUUUUCCCUUUUGCUCUGAUCUUGUUCUCAAGGCCAAUAAGCUAAGAGUUAAACCACUACUUUUGCUAAUUAAUUAAUUAUAUUGCAUCUAUAUUUGUUUAUUGUAAUACAGUUAAUCCUCUCCCCCCUUUCCUUCAUCGAAUAUCAGCAAAUAUCCAAAAUGAAACUUGGUAAUUGAGAAGUUCCUAAAUAUAUAUAAAGCAAUUCAUAAGGGAAAGGUAGAGGCAUGCAUGGCAAGUUGGCAACUAUCUACCCCUGGAUGCUACUACAGUUUAAUAUAAAAGUUGAUAACAAACUGUAAAUUGUAAUAUUGAUAUGUCGGAUGGGAUAUUAAUUGACGUGAAAAUCAGUGCUGUCCAUCUCCAAUCAGCUAGCUUUCGGAAUUGGAACCCAUGCAGAUAUGCGGGACUUCCAGUGGGGACAUAGAAGGUAAUGAUCAUCCUUUUGAAUAAAAAUAAGGAACCAACCAACCCCAUCUCUUAGGGAUCCGAUGAUGAAAUAUAGGCAACGAAACAAAAAAGAUUUGGUCAAAAAAAUAUCAAAUGUUGAUUGAUGAUGAGCCCAAAGUGCAUGUUAUAACGAGGAGGACGCAUCAUUGCUAACUUUCCAAUAUAUAUGUUAAGAUUAUUAAUGUAUCAAUAAAUGUGGGAGCUCAAAGCUGGGAGUUAAAUUAAAUUAAUAAACCAAUCUGGGGAGCUGGGAGAGGAAUCUAUACUUUGAUUGUCAAUGAAGAAAGCAUCAAUUCCCUUCUGGCUUCUCCCCUGCCCACUUUGCUAUAUUUUUUACCACCCAAAAAUAUCAACUAAUUAAUUAUACCAACCUCCUCUUCAGUUACUUUGUUAUUUUAAACAAGAAUUUCCACAAGUAUAUAUGUCACCUAUAAAACAUAAAUGUAUUAAUCAAAUAAUGUUCAGAGGCAAUACAAGUUUACCAAUCCAUAAAGCCGACUAAUCAUCAGUUCGCAUGCAGUUACAUUGUCUGACUAAUUAAUUAAAAGAUAGGCAAUUAUAUAUGAGUUGGGGUGGAAUAGUUUUUAAUUUAUGGAAGGGACUAAUAUAUAUAAUACACUAAAUGAACUAGUUCAACCUUCUAAUUUGCGAGUUUUGGUAAAGCUAGCUAGCCCAUCCUUUACGCGUUUACACUCCACAAGCCAAAGCUUUAAAUUAAAAUUUUACACAAAUAAAGAUGGAGGUUAUAUAUUGAUCGGGUGCAUAAUAGCAAAUUUAAUUAAAUUUAAUGUUUUUUUCUUUUUGGGUGAUGUGAUGUUGUGGUAGGGCUUUAAAAUGGUGAACAGAAUGACGUCAUGGUUGCGGCCAUAAAGUAGCAUGCAUGUAGACGUAGAGGAGGAUAUUACUAUUUUACAACAAUAUAUAUUUUGGGUUGGGUGUGGUAAGAAAAUAGAAGGAGAUUUUUUAUUUUUUUGAGGAUUACAUAAAAGAGUUCCAAAGAGAGAUAUAUGUUAUGGGUAACCGCUAGCUAUACAAUAAAGGUGGGGAUGGGGGCAUGCAGAUGGUCAUAGAUAGGAGGAGAGGACACACAGAAGACAAUCUUCAGUUCCACAAAAGGAUAAAACAAAAAGACCUCUCUACUCUAUUCCCCACCCCCCCGUCGAUCAACAACAUCACGGAAUCACGAUGCCAAUCAUUAUUUGGAGCUAGCUAGGUUGCAUGGUAAUUCUUGUUACCAAGGAUAAUUUCUAGGAUUCUAAGUGAUCAUCAUGAUGCCAUGGUUUCAUUGGCUUUUCCCUAAAAAUCUCAAAACAUGUAUAUGUUAAAUAUUAUUUAUCACAAAAUCACUAAAACUGGUAAUUAUGUUUGUUCCUAAAAUGCAUUUCUAAAAUGUAAAUUGAAACCAUUGAUAAUUUUUUGUAUGCUUUGAAUUAUUUAUAUGAUUAAAUUUUUCGAUAGUACUUAUGACGUCCGACUGAAUCAAACAGAUAUAACAUAACAAUACCAAAUUUUAUUUAAAAAUAUAUUAAAUUGGACUCAUAAAAUCUCAAAAUAUAUAUACCCGAAUUUAACACUCAUAACUGAAAGUGAGAUCGAUGAGCCGGUGUUGGCUUCCCUAUCUCCGGCCCAGCUGUGAAAAAGGCGAGGAAAGGAGCUGCAGAUGCUCGACCAACUUUGUGCAGGUCUACCAAGUAAAUGUAGGCGUAACAACAAACAAAAGAUCAUCAUGGAAAAUUGUACUCACUCAUCACUACUCUCUAUGUAGUUUCCCUUUUCUUUCAUUUCUGGGUUGCUAUUCCUUUAUCUUUAUUUUCCUUUUCCUUUUGUUUUGUUCCUUUAACAAAUAUUUAAUUUACGAGUUAUAAAUAAUUGUUUUAAGGAAACUCGUAACAAUUGUUAAACUGGUUGAAUUUUUUCUUUAGAAAUGGUAUAAUUAGACGCCAAGAUUAUGAAUUUUCUUUACUGCUGUUGUUUAAAUAUGAAUUCAUGAUUAUUUUGGUUCCAUCUAUUUUUUUUUAUUUGAAUGGAUCCUGGUAGACUAAUUAAGCAAAUAUGCUCACAGUCAAUAUUUCCGUAUAGUAACAAUGUUUAUGUGAGUGAUCAAAUUUGAGUCAUAAUUCUCUACAAAAACAAAAA